UCCGGCGGGCGGGCUCCGAAAGGAGAGCGUGGUGUCUGGAGGUGAUCGGAAGGGACUGGCUGGAGUGUGGCGGGCUGACAGGUCUGAGGCCUGAAGGACUUCCGGGAACCGCAAAGCACGGUGUGCCUCCGCUGUCCUGAAGAAAAAGCCGCGCGCGGACGACUGGCCGGCCCGCGCUUGCAGCUCCCAGAAGUUGACAGGCAUCCUCCGGUGACCGGUGUGAGUAUGGCAUCAGGAUGAUUUGACUGCAAGCAACAGAAAAAUCAAACAAAAAUGGCCUAAGCCAAGAAGAGAAAUGAUUAUUUCACAUUCCAAGAAGUUUGGGAGUCGAGUGGUUAAACGGCUAAUUAAUCUAGAGCUCAACAGUAUCACCCAGGACCCAUUUUCACUAUGGUGGCUAAAGCUCUGCACCCUUCAGGCUUGCACCAUGGCAGCAGCAGUGACAGUAAAGACACCCUUACACCACAAUGCUCCAUGACCAGGGAGAGGGUCUCCUCUCUCCUGCCCCUUUCUGGAGGCUCCACCGAAGAUUUCUCUUCACAUUCCGUUUCUCAUUCCUGAAGCAGUUGCUGGCAACAGGGAUGGACUUACCGCAAUGGGUACAGAGCAACUAAGAUUCACCACUAGCAGAUCUGCAUUGUAAGAAAAAUGAGAAGAAUUCCUUCAGGAAGAAGAAAAAUGAUACCAGAUGGAUAUGUGGAUCCACAUAAAGGAACGAAGAGCACAGGAAAUAGUAACUAUACUGUCUUGCUCUGUCACCCAGGCUGGAGUGUGGUGGUGCGAUCUUGGCUCACUGCUAGACUGGUUGGAUCCAGGUUUCCUUCGUCAGUCCAGGCAGGACUGUGCGGUUGGAAAAGGGACGGAUGCUGGUCCUGGAAGGGGCGUCGUUAUCUAGAAGCUCCCAACCUAAGUGGGUGACUCAUAGGGAGGGCAAGGAGAGAAGGACACAGCAAGCAACUUACAUGUAAAACAAGACGUGUGGGUUAUUAUGGAAGAAAUUCACAACCAAACUUGGGGUUAGCCCGUAUUGUUUUCCAAGAACUCUAUGUGGACAGUGACAAAAAACAGACCUAAGAACUAGCAGACUGGGCAAAGCUUUUUCACAUAACAACAACAAAAAAAGCAAUUCCUCAGGAAAAAAUGGUCAAUGGGUCAUUGUGUGUAGACAAAACUACAAGUUCUGCUCCAGACUCUGGGGAAACCAUGCUGCCAUCUUCAAGCUGUGGCCAUUCUGUAAUACAGACUACGCUAAAUCACAUGUUGUCAUCAAGGCAGAAUAUUUUGUUCCUUUAUGGGUCAGCCUGGGAUACAAAAUUAGAGAAACUUUGCAAUGAAAAAUCCCUUGUGUCUCAUUGAACUUUUUCCUUAAUUCAAACCUUUCCUUUCACAGUUUUGAUUAGUGCCUUUGCCCAUGUGGACAAUAUUUUAUGAUCAGGUUUUAAGAGUAAUCCAUCCAUGGCUGCUUGGCUGCCUGGAACUUAAAACAACGACAACAACAAUGUCCAGAUAAACCCAAUAAAAUAGGUUUUUAAAUGUG
rnacentral:lncRNA from 1 species